rnacentral:rRNA from 1 species
GAUGAACGCUGGCGGCGUGCCUAAUACAUGCAAGUCGAGCGAACUGAUUAGAAGCUUGCUUCUAUGACGUUAGCGGCGGACGGGUGAGUAACACGUGGGCAACCUGCCUGUAAGACUGGGAUAACUUCGGGAAACCGAAGCUAAUACCGGAUGGGAUCUUCUCCUUCAUGGGAGAUGAUUGAAAGAUGGUUUCGGCUAUCACUUACAGAUGGGCCCGCGGUGCAUUAGCUAGUUGGUGAGGUAACGGCUCACCAAGGCAACGAUGCAUAGCCGACCUGAGAGGGUGAUCGGCCACACUGGGACUGAGACACGGCCCAGACUCCUACGGGAGGCAGCAGUAGGGAAUCUUCCGCAAUGGACGAAAGUCAGACGGAGCAACGCCGCGUGAGUGAUGAAGGCUUUCGGGUCGUAAAACUCUGUUGUUAGGGAAGAUCAAGUACAAGAGUAACUGCUUGUACCUUGACGGUACCUAACCAGAAAGCCACGGCUAACUACGUGCCAGCCGCCGCGGUAACAC